GGGGGUGAACAGGGUUCGACGGGAGUGAUAGACGUAAUGACAGCAGGCCGGAGUUGGUCGAUGGCUCCGUAAAAAUCGACCGAACAAUAAACAACAAAAUAUACAAAGCAGUAAACAAUAACUUUGCUGUGGGUCUCAAAUCAGAAUUCCCCAUAGCAGAAACUAAAGCUCCUUGCAGCAAUUUAAGUUUUGCAAUGGUAGCUGCUUAACGCGGCUGUGUUUUACUUCAGACAUCUGCUAUGGAGAUAAAACGACAAGAGCAGGUUAGUUUUAAGCGGACCUGUGCCAGCAGCUUAAAAUGAAAUUAAAACGGCACUAGUUUAUAGCGCAAUCUUGUCUGGAGACGGUGUUAUGAACAAGACAAACUUUCCAGACUAAGCCUGUAGCAGUCAUACCGAAACAUUUUCGGACGCGGGUUCAAUUCCCGCCACCUCCACAA
rnacentral:tmRNA from 1 species